GACGAACGCUGGCGGCGUGCUUAACACAUGCGAGUCGAACGGAAAGGCCCUGCUUUUGUGGGGUGCUCGAGUGGCGAACGGGUGAGUAACACGUGAGUAACCUGCCCUUGACUUUGGGAUAACUUCAGGAAACUGGGGCUAAUACCGGAUAGGAGCUCCUGCUGCAUGGUGGGGGUUGGAAAGUUUCGGCGGUUGGGGAUGGACUCGCGGCUUAUCAGCUUGUUGGUGGGGUAGUGGCUUACCAAGGCUUUGACGGGUAGCCGGCCUGAGAGGGUGACCGGCCACAUUGGGACUGAGAUACGGCCCAGACUCCUACGGGAGGCAGCAGUGGGGAAUAUUGCACAAUGGGCGAAGCCUGAUGCAGCAACGCCGCGUGCGGGAUGACGGCCUUCGGGUUGUAAACCGCUUUCGCCUGUGACGAAGCGUGAGUGACGGUAAUGGGUAAAGAAGCACCGGCUAACUACGUG
rnacentral:rRNA from 1 species